rnacentral:ncRNA from 2 species
AAAGCUGUGCGUGACUGGCGGAGCAUGGGUAACCAUGAGGAAGCGCAUAGCAUCAUUAGCCGUACGCCUGGGCAAAGGUA